AGAGUUUGAUCCUGGCUCAGGAUGAACGCUGGCGGCGUGCUUAACACAUGCAAGUCGAACGAACCUUCGGGUUAGUGGCGGACGGGUGAGUAACGCGUGAGAAUCUGCCCUCAGGAGGGGGAUAACGGCUGGAAACGGCCGCUAAUACCCCAUAUGCCGAGAGGUGAAAUGAAUUUCGCCUGAGGAUGAGCUCGCGUCUGAUUAGCUAGUUGGUGUGGUAAAGGCUCACCAAGGCAUCGAUCAGUAGCUGGUCUGAGAGGAUGAUCAGCCACACUGGGACUGAGACACGGCCCAGACUCCUACGGGAGGCAGCAGUGGGGAAUUUUCCGCAAUGGGCGCAAGCCUGACGGAGCAACGCCGCGUGAGGGAUGAAGGCCUCUGGGCUGUAAACCUCUUUUAUCAAGGAAGAAGAUCUGACGGUACUUGAUGAAUAAGCCACGGCUAAUUCCGUGCCAGCAGCCGCGGUAAUACGGGAGUGGCAAGCGUUAUCCGGAAUUAUUGGGCGUAAAGCGUCCGCAGGCGGUCUUGAAAGUCUGUUGUUAAAGCGUGGAGCUCAACUCCAUUUCAGCAAUGGAAACUAGAAGACUAGAGUGUGGUAGGGGCAGAGGGAAUUCCCGGUGUAGCGGUGAAAUGCGUAGAUAUCGGGAAGAACACCAGUUGCGAAGGCGCUCUGCUGGGCCAUAACUGACGCUCAUGGACGAAAGCCAGGGGAGCGAAAGGGAUUAGAUACCCCUGUAGUCCUGGCCGUAAACGAUGAACACUAGGUGUCGGGGGAAUCGACCCCCUCGGUGUCGUAGCCAACGCGUUAAGUGUUCCGCCUGGGGAGUACGCACGCAAGUGUGAAACUCAAAGGAAUUGACGGGGGCCCGCACAAGCGGUGGAGUAUGUGGUUUAAUUCGAUGCAACGCGAAGAACCUUACCAGGGUUUGACAUCCUGCGAAUCCCUUGGAAACUUGGGAGUGCCUUCGGGAGCGCAGUGACAGGUGGUGCAUGGCUGUCGUCAGCUCGUGUCGUGAGAUGUUGGGUUAAGUCCCGCAACGAGCGCAACCCACGUCUUUAGUUGCCAGCAUUAAGUUGGGCACUCUAGAGAGACUGCCGGUGAUAAACCGGAGGAAGGUGUGGAUGACGUCAAGUCAUCAUGCCCCUUACAUCCUGGGCUACACACGUACUACAAUGCUACGGACAAAGGGCAGCAAACUCGCGAGAGCUAGCAAAUCCCAUAAACCGUGGCUCAGUUCAGAUCGUAGGCUGCAACUCGCCUACGUGAAGGAGGAAUCGCUAGUAAUCGCAGGUCAGCAUACUGCGGUGAAUACGUUCCCGGGCCUUGUACACACCGCCCGUCACACCAUGGAAGUUGGCCACGCCCGAAGUCGUUACUCCAACCCGCAAGGGAGGAGGAUGCCGAAGGUGGGGCUGAUGACUGGGGUGAAGUCGUAACAAGGUA
rnacentral:rRNA from 1 species